GCACGCGCGCCGGAUGCCCUGGCCUAGGUAGGGCAGUUGACCUCGGGUUCUCCCGGGCACAGCCGAAUCCACGCCAGGGCCCGCAGGCCGGUGGCUGUCCUGCAAUCCGAGCGGAGCUGCGACCUCGGGCAGCUGGAAGCCUGUGGGCUGCUGCUUCUCCAGGCAGGCGGCGGAGGGAUGCAGGCAGGAUGAGCGGCGGUCCCUUUGCCGCCAUCCGGAGAACCGCGGCUAGUGCCCUUGAAGGCGCUGGGAUGCCUGGGUUGGGUGGGUGGGUGAACGAGAACCCUGCGUGAGUGAGGGGAGGGCGGGUCCCCUCCUGGCUUCAAAUUCAACCCAAUCAGCUCUGCCGAUGGUUUGAAACUGCACACGCCGACCCACCCGCCCCGAAGUCUGAAAGUUAUGCCCGGGAGACCUGCGAGCUGCGGAGUGCCGCUGGAGAGGGAGUUGCCCCACGAGGCGGCCUCCAGAAUAACUCCCGGAGUCGGAACAGCGCUGGGCUGCUGAAGUUUGCAGCCUCCGGAUCCGCGCCCCGCCCUGCAGAUCCACCGGAUUUCGGGAGGGAAUCGGGGGGCUGCCCGUCCUCCCGUAAAGCUGACUUGACAACAAUUACGGAAGUUUUUAAUUAGCUCCUUAUUAUAAUUCAUUUUAUUUCCAGAACUCUCCGACCAUAAAUUAUUCAAAGAGUAAGCCAACCCGAGUGGGGCGGCCGCGCGCCUUCCCCACACGCGCCGAGCUGGCUUUGGCCGCUCAGCUCACCCGAUGCCCCGUGAGCCAGCCCCGCGCCAGAAGCCGCGGUGGCAGGAAGGUUUGAUCAAACAUUAAAUAACGUAAUGUUUGCGACAAGGCUUAUCUCGCAAGUGGAAAAGAGGUCCUCGUGAGAAUUAGAAUUCGGCUGCUAUUUUAAAAAAUCAAUUAAGCUUGCGGUCUUUUUUGAAACAGCUCGAAAGGACUGCGUGGCUGUCAUCGUGGCGCUAAGACUGAGAUGGCAAUAACACCGAUGGCAGAACUGUACCAGUAUUAAUUGUCAUCACCUUUAUCAUCCCGCUGGCCACCAAAGCCGUUCGAAUGGGGUGGGAAACGCUAGUUUUAGCCAGGAUCAGAAGCCCCAGUUCCAACUUCACGGACGAAAAACUGCGAAAGCCUAUCAACGUGAAAGAUGAGUAGGGAUACUUCACGCAGGUGCCAGGUGCGAUCAGGAGAGGCCGGGGCGGCGGGGCAGAGGCAGAGGGCAGGGCUCGCUGAGUGAGUCCUGCGGGCUUGGGGCGCCCUGUGCUCUCCGUGCGCUGCCACGUGUAGGAGGAACCGGACCGAAGUAGUCUCAGUAUCACAAGAAAACAAAAAUCGAUACAAUCACGGCAGUGGGUGCCUACAGUUUAUUUAUGAAACUGCAAUCGAAGUUGAGAGCAAUUUCAGAACACGCAUUAAACAAAAAUUAUUUAGAAGUUAGUUGAUGGGUCUUGAGGACAUAAUUUUUUUAGACCUACAGAAGGAACAGGACCUGGAGCUAGAACUGGGGAAAAGAGGAAAUUUAAGACAAAUGGAUGGCAUAAAUGUGGCAGAUGCUUUAAUGCUUAUUUGUCUUUUGCUUUUCCUAUUCCACCCCCGCCGCCGCCUGGAUUUCCUGAGAAGCUGAAAUGCAAACGGAGCCCAAUUUUCCCACUCAAACUUAUUUUGAGAUUAUUCUUUAAAAGAAUCCGAGACACACAUUUUAUCAUAUUCACCCCAAAACUGGUGGAGGAAUCCGCUUAGAGCGAACUCUUCAGAACUAGAAAACUUUGAAAGGCCAAACUAUCACUGAUUGACACCCACUUCAAUGAUAGUUUGGCCUCUUCAGGAGGUCCCUUUUUGUUUUUUUCAUGGAUUGACAGCUAAAGGCGUCUUAGAAUAGUCUUACUACUCCUUCAAGCCAUAUAUAGAUUCACUUACCAGAAAGCAUUUUUUUUUGUUUUGCACAGUUUCCUACUACAUAAAAUAGGAAAUUAAUUUUCAUGAUGUUUUAUUAACAUAAUACUCUUAUUUUUACUUGGUAAAGGUUUUAUUUAAAGCAAAUCCUUAAAUUCUUCAUACCUACAUUGAUCAUUAUUAUAUAAUACACAUGUAUUUGCCUGCAACAUUUCUGCUUGAGGCAGACUUAAAAAAAAAAAAAAAAAAAAAAAACACCCUUUGUAAAUCUUUUCAUUUGUUCAGUCCUGUUUUUCCAACAAUGAAAUCCAGUCAUACUUUUCUAGAAAAUAACGGGUUUUUUACAAUUGCAUUUUAUUUAAAACUGAUGAUGUUUCAAGUCAGUAACAACAAAAACAAAUCAACUUUUUAUGGAAGAGUUCUAUGUUUAAAAAUACCUCUAGUGCUUUUUUUUUUUUUUUAACAUUAACAACUGUUUAAAAUCACAGCUUUUAAAAUGUACUAUUCUUUUUGAACAUCAAGUGUUUUGCUUCACAGAUGUGCCGGUGAAAUUAAAAAGAUUUGGCUAAAAUAAGAUGACUUCAGAUGAUAUAAUCUCAGCUCUUAAGAAACUUUGUACAUUUGGCAUCUGAUCUAGUCCCAAGUCACCAAGAAAUAGAGGCUCUCUAGUCACUCUGGAGCAGUAGGUGGCACACUAAAUGUUUUAAAAUGUAUUACCCUCCAAAGAAAAGCCAUUCAGUUACUAGGUGUUUUUAGGCUAGAAUAUCACAUCUAAACCUCCAAAUUCCUCUGUCCCUGACCCUAAAUUUAAAUGUUGUUUGGGUGCCUGGUUAUUUAUUGGUUUUCACCACUCUGGAUCAAGUGCUGUGGUUUAAGAGUUUCUGCAGUUAAAAAAUAAUAAUAAUAACUUUUAUAAACACAGGUAACUAAUAUAGAAUUCAUUUUAUUUAGAGCACCACUUUUCACGAGUUAUCUGAAAGUGAAUUCUGAUUCAGCAAAAAAAUACAUCAUUCUCAAUCUCUCCCCUUUUCAUCCCCCUUCAACACCCUACCCUCCCCCCAUUUCUCUGUGUUUUCUUUUUGUUUGGUUGGUUGAGGUUUUUUUGGCUAUAUAUCUCAUUUGUUGAAAGGUUCUACCAGGACCUGGCCCAGUAUAAACACAAAAAUGCACCCAAAUCAUAAAACUGCUCUUCUUUCAGUUAUGUUUUAUUUGUAAGUGUACUGGGACACAUCCCCCUGUUGUAUUUUGGCGCACAGAAUUGGUUCUGAUAGAAGUAGGGGAGGAGAAAGGUAAAAGAGAAAAGACAUAACCAAGGAGAAAGCUCAGCAGACAUACAUGGACAGGUAGAUCAAUCCGUGAGACAUUUCAGGAUGAACACUGGCAGUCUGUUACCAUUGUGUGAAUGUGUGCAUUAAAUAAAAUAUUUACAAUAAUCUUUUUUCCUUUUCCUUUGAAUACAAGAAUAUGACAAAAAUGUUGUGUUUUCAGUGGAAACAGGCAGUAGACUGUGAAAUCGCACUAUCCACAAAACGGUCUACCAGAAAGCUAGCCCAGUUUAGUGUUCAGUUUCAAAUGCAUAGAAUGUUUGCCCUGCAAACAAUGAUAUACAACAUAAUUAAAUAAAUAAUGCCUAACCA
rnacentral:antisense_RNA from 1 species